rnacentral:rRNA from 2 species
AACGAGACCUUAACCUGCUAAAUAGCCCGUAUUGCUUUGGCAGUACGCUGGCUUCUUAGAGGGACUAUCGGCUCAAGCCGAUGGAAGUUUGAGGCAAUAACAGGUCUGUGAUGCCCUUAGAUGUUCUGGGCCGCACGCGCGCUACACUGACGGAGCCAGCGAGUACUUCCUUGUCCGAAAGGUCCGGGUAAUCUUGUGAAACUCUACCGUG